UACAGAGGUCCCAAGCGUUGUUCGGAUUCACUGGGCGUAAAGGGUGCGCAGGUGGGUUGGCAAGUUCGAUGUGAAAGCCCCGGGCUUAACCCGGGAAUGGCAUUGGAAACUGCUGAUCUGGAGGAUCGGAGGGGGGACUGGAAUUCUUGGUGUAGCAGUGAAAUGCGUAGAUAUCAAGAGGAACACCAGUGGCGAAGGCGAGUCCCUGGACGAUACCUGACACUGAGGCACGAAAGCGUGGGGAGCAAACAGG
rnacentral:rRNA from 1 species